UUAUAUGCUGAUGUUAAAGAUUAAGCCAUGCAUGUGUAAGUAUAAAGUCCAAGAAGGAUGAAACUGCGAACGGCUCAUUAGAACAGUUAUAGUUUCUUCGAUUAGUAAGUACAAGGAUAGCUUUGUGAAUGAUAAAGAUAAUACUUGAGACGAUCUUGGAUGUAGAGAUACAUUCAGGCCUUUGCAUCAAUUAAUGGUGUGAAGAGAAAGGAUAUCCAAAGUGAAAGUGGGUAUCAUGACAAUUGUAGAAUAGCGAUAUUUAACAAGUAAUCGAUGAGAAUAUCUGAUCUAUCAACUAGUUGGUAGUAUCGAGGACUACCAAGGUUAUAACGGAUAACGAGGAAUUAGGGUUUGACAUCGGAGAGGGAGCUUUCAAGAUGGCUACCACUUCCAAGGAAGGCAGCAGGCGCGUAAAUUACCCAAUUUCAACAGAUAGAAGAGGUAGUGACGACAAAUAACUCACGAUGUGCGUAAGCAUGUCUUGAAGGAAUGAGUAAGAAGCAAAGAGUCUUACGAAAUCAAUUGGAGGGCAAGUCUGGUGCCAGCAGCCGCGGUAAUUCCAGCUCCAAUAGUGUAUAUUAAAGUUGUUGUGAUUAAAACGCUCGUAGUUGAAAGUGAUAUAUAUCCAUUGUUCAAGUCGUGAGUACGACUCGUUUGUAUGAAUGAGUUGAACAGCAUAUAUGGAUAUAGUAAGGAAUGAUGAUACAUGAAUGUGUAUUGUUGUUAAUUACUUUGAAAAAAUUAGAGUGCUUAAAGCGAAUCUAUUAAAGAAUAGUGAAGCAUGGGACAAUAAAUGAAAUAGGAGAUCAUCUGAUUUCGUAUUAGGAAGAAAGAUUAAGAGGAAUAAUUGGGGUAAUUCAGAAAAUAACGGGAGAGGUGAAAAUUCAUGAUCGUUAUAAGAUGAACUAGAGCGAAAGCAUUUUACUCAAUUAUGUUCAUUAAUCAAGAACGAAAGUUAGGGGAUCGAAGACGAUCAGAUACCGUCGUAGUCCUAACUAUAAACGAUGUCAACGAAGGAUUGGAUAAAUUUCACGAUAUUUAUCGUACAUCAGCUUUGCUGGAGUACGAGACGAUAUCAAAUACACCUUAUUCAGAACUUGAAGAGAAAUCUUGAGUGAAUGGACUUCAGGGGGAGUAUGGUCACAAGGCUGAAACUUAAAGGAAUUGACGGAAGGGCACACAAGGAGUGGAGCCUGCGGCUUAAUUUGACUCAACACGGGAAAACUUACCAAGACCGAACAUUAUGAGGAAUGACAGAUUAAGAGAUCUUUCAUGAUUUAAUGGUGAGUGGUGCAUGGCCGUUCUUAGUUGGUGGUAUGAAUUGUCAGGUUAAUUCCGGUAACGAACGAGACUGAAACCUAUUAAUUAGUUCUGUGGCUAUAAGACACAGGUGUUAGCAAUAACAGAUAGCAAUAUCACUUCUUAAAGGGACACAUUUCAAAUGUUCCUUGAUUAUCAAAGUUUGGAUUCUGUCCAACGUGAUAAACGAGGAAAAAAGAAACAGGAAGCAUUCAGCAAUAACAGGUCUGUGAUGCCCUUAGACAUCUUGGGCUGCACGCGCGCUACAAUGAAGAUAGUAGAGAGUAAUAUAUAUGAUGAACUCGUAAUUUUACAUUGUUUACAAUGAAGGUUAUAGAGGGAGUCAUAAACCGAAACCGUCAGGUGGAGGAAAACUUGAAGCAUCGUACAUGACUGGGAUAAAUGAUUGGAAUUAUUUGUUUUGAACGAGGAAUUCCUUGUAAUAUCACGUCAUCAACGUGAGAUGAAUACGUCCCUGCCCUUUGUACACACCGCCCGUCGCUCCUACCGAUUGAAUAAAGAGGUGAAAUUCUAAGAGAUGGCCAAUUAAUUGGUUGUUGAAUGGAUUUAAAUCUCCUUAUUUAGAGGAAGGAGAAGUCGUAACAAGGUUUCCGUAGGUGAACCUGCGGAAG
rnacentral:rRNA from 1 species